AUUCCAGCUCCAAUGGCGUAUAUUAAAGUUGUUGCAGUUAAAAAGCUCGUAGUUGGAUUUCUGGCGGGAGCGACCGGUCGGCCCUUGUGGUGUGUACUAGCGUUGCGUCCGGCCAUAUUUGCGGAGAGCGUGUGUGGCAUUAAUUUGUCGUGCACGGGACCCGCAUCGUUUACUGUGAGAAAAUUAGAGUGUUCAAAGCAGGCUUAUGCCUUGGAUAUGUUAGCAUGGAAUAAUAAGAUAAGACUUUGGCGGUCUAUUUUGUUGGUUUGCACGCCAUUGUAAUGAUUGAUAGGGACAGUUGGGGGUAUUCAUAUUUAAUUGUCAGAGGUGAAAUACUUGGAUUUAUGAAAGAUGAACUACUGCGAAAGCAUUUACCAAGGAUGUUUUCAUCA
rnacentral:rRNA from 1 species